UACGUAGGUGGCAAGCGUUGUCCGGAUUUACUGGGCGUAAAGAGCGCGCAGGCGGUCAUUCAAGUCGAGUGUGAAAGCCCCCGGCUCAACUGGGGAGGGUCACUCGAUACUGUUUGACUCGAAGGCGGGAGAGGGAAGUGGAAUUCCCGGUGUAGUGGUGAAAUGCGUGGAUAUCGGGAGGAACACCAGUGGCGAAGGCGACUUCCUGGCCCGUUCUUGACGCUGAGGCGCGAAAGCUAGGGGAGCAAACGGG
rnacentral:rRNA from 1 species